ACAUGCCAGGAGGUAGCAAACAAGCUGGUCACUGCUACUGUCUAUGGUACAGGGCCCUCCUGACUCUCUUUUUGCUUUGGCUGUAUUCCCUAUUGUGUGUGGACACCUAGUCACAGGAAUCCAAAUAAUCCAGUCUCGGCAUUGUUUGCUUUGCAUCCUCUCUGAUCAGUUUGAUUUUCUCAGUUGAGUAUUUUAAAAGUGGGCAUUCGGCUCCAUAUUGUUCAGAACAUAUAAAUAAUGGAAAAAGGAACAGCUCAGAUGGAUGAAUACUUCCUAAGGAAGAUGGAACCUACCCUCUGGCUGUGUUUGUUACUUCUUGGUCUACAUGCAGUCGGCCAUAGUCAUCCCCGGCCCGGUCCCAUCAAAGGCCAUGAUGAUCGUGAAGAUACCAGUCACACCGAAGGUGAUACCCAGAUUGAAAGAGAUAAUGUGCAUGGUGACAUGGUCUUCUCAAAAUAGCUCCUGCUGGGGAAACUGAGCCACGGAAAGGUGAAGCGACUUGCUCAAGGUCUCUCAGCAGACUUCUGGACAAGAAUAGAACCUAUGUCUCCUUUUUUCUAGUGACAUCAAGAAUCCCCACAAGCUGAGCAAUAAAUCAGUAAUCACCCAGAGAAAAAAAGCCAUGGAAAAAUAGUGAGUUAAUUGAGGAUCUUGAGCCAGUCACUGUCAUGGUGCUUGUUAACUAUACAUGCAUGUUAUCCACGCACACAUUUUAUAGCAAUUACAAGUUUUGGAUUCCUGACUGAGACCUAGGGGAAAGGAUGCUGUCAUUUGUCUUUUAAUAAAAGAAUGUCAUUAGAGAGAAGGAUGGUCCUAUAAUUAAGGCACCGGGUUGGGAUAUAGGAGUUCUGGGUUUGGUUCCCAGCUGUGCCAGUCUCCCUGUAUAAAUUGGGCAAGUCACUUAAUCUCUUUGUGUGUCUCAGAUCCAUAGCUGUACAAUGAGGAUAAUAAUCCUUCCUUUAUCUGUCUUGCCUAUUUAGGCUGUAAAUUCCUCAGCACAGGAACUUUCUUUUAUGAUUUGUAUGUGUAGCAUCUUGCAUGAUGGUGCUCCAGUCUUGCCUGAGACCUCUUAGGGUAUAUCUGCACAGCAACUAGACACACGGGGCUGGCUCAGGCCAGCCAACUUAGGCUCGUGGGGCUCACGCUGCAGGGC